UUUAUGGAGAGUUUGAUCCUGGCUCAGGAUGAACGCUGGCGGCGUGCCUAAUACAUGCAAGUCGAGCGAACGGACGAGAAGCUUGCUUCUCUGAUGUUAGCGGCGGACGGGUGAGUAACACGUGGAUAACCUACCUAUAAGACUGGGAUAACUUCGGGAAACCGGAGCUAAUACCGGAUAAUAUUUUGAACCGCAUGGUUCAAAAGUGAAAGACGGUCUUGCUGUCACUUAUAGAUGGAUCCGCGCUGCAUUAGCUAGUU
rnacentral:rRNA from 1 species